rnacentral:rRNA from 1 species
AGGACGACGCUGGCGGCGUGCCUAAUACAUGCAAGUCGAACGGUCUUUUCUAUGGAAGCUUGCUUCCACUGAGAAGAUAGUGGCGAACGGGUGAGUAACACGUGGGUAACCUGCCCAUAAGAGGGGGAUAACAUCCGGAAACGGGUGCUAAUACCGCAUAGUUUUCUUGAUCGCAUGAUCGGGAAAGGAAAGACGGCCUUUGUGCUGUCGCUUAUGGAUGGACCCGCGGCGUAUUAGUUAGUUGGUGAGGUAACGGCUCACCAAGACGAUGAUACGUAGCCGACCUGAGAGGGUGAUCGGCCACAUUGGGACUGAGACACGGCCCAAACUCCUACGGGAGGCAGCAGUAGGGAAUCUUCCGCAAUGGACGAAAGUCUGACGGAGCAACGCCGCGUGAGUGAAGAAAGGUUUUCGGAUCGUAAAACUCUGUUGUCAGAGAAGAACAAGUUGGAGAGUAACUGCUCCAGCCUUGACGGUAUCUGACCAGAAAGCCACGGCUAACUACGUGCCAGCAGCGGC